UACGUAGGGUGCGAGCGUUGUCCGGAAUUAUUGGGCGUAAAGAGCUCGUAGGCGGUGUGUCGCGUCGGUCGUGAAAACUUGGGGCUUAACCCUGAGCUUGCGGUCGAUACGGGCAUCACUUGAGUUCGGCAGGGGAGACUGGAAUUCCUGGUGUAGCGGUGAAAUGCGCAGAUAUCAGGAGGAACACCGAUGGCGAAGGCAGGUCUCUGGGCAUUAACUGACGCUGAGGAGCGAAAGCAUGGGGAGCGAACAGG
rnacentral:rRNA from 1 species